rnacentral:rRNA from 1 species
AGUGAACGCUGGCGGUAGGCCUAACACAUGCAAGUCGAACGGCAGCACAGAGGAGCUUGCUCCUUGGGUGGCGAGUGGCGGACGGGUGAGGAAUACAUCGGAAUCUACUCUGUCGUGGGGGAUAACGGAGGGAAACUUACGCUAAUACCUCAUACGACCUACGGGUGAAAGCAGGGGAUCUUCGGACCUUGCGCGAUUGAAUGAGCCGAGGUCGGAUUAGCUAGUUGGCGGGGUAAAGGCCCACCAAGGCGACGAUCCGUAGGUGGUCUGAGAGGAUGAUCAGCCACACUGGAACUGAGACACGGUCCAGACUCCUUCGGGAGGCAGCAGUGGGGAAUAUUGGACAAUGGGCGCAAGCCUGAUCCAGCCAUACCGCGUGGGUGAAGAAGGCCUUCGGGUUGUAAAGCCCUUUUGUUGGGAAAGAAAUCCAUCUGGUUAAUACCCGGGUGGGAUGACGGUACCCAAAGAAUAAGCACCGGCUAACUUCGUGCCAGCAGCCGCCGUAA